UUUUGCAAGUCCUAAAUGGAGUGGGUUCCCCUCUACCCCACCAUAAGUGUGCUGUACUGAGAGAUGGGGUGGGGAGAGAAGAUGGGGAUGGAGGUAGAAUGCUUGGUACAGAACCAGACUGCCAGAGCUUUUCAUGAAGGCAAAGCCGACCGCACAGAGAAAAUGAAAACAGAAGCUAGGAGACUUCGAAAGCCUUCUUGUUAUUUCUGUGAAAAAAAGAGAGCCUAUAAGAAUUAUAUGAUGCAAAAUCCA